UACAGAGGGUGCGAGCGUUAAUCGGAAUUACUGGGCGUAAAGCGUGCGUAGACGGUUAUUUAAGUCGGGUGUGAAAGCCCCGGGCUCAACCUGGGAAUUGCAUUCGAGACUGAAUAGCUAGGGUACGGUAGAGGGAAGUGGAAUUUACGGUGUAGCAGUGAAAUGCGUAGAGAUCGUAAGGAAGACCAGUGGCGAAGGCGAGUUUCUGGACGGUAACUGACGCUGAGGAGCGAAAGCGUGGGGAGCGAACAGG
rnacentral:rRNA from 1 species